rnacentral:rRNA from 1 species
CCUACGUGAGGCAGCAGUGAGGACUAUUGGUCAAUGGCCGGAAGGCUGAACCAGCCAAGCCGCGUGAAGGACGAAGGUGCCAAGCAUUGUAAACUUCUUUUGUCAAGGGACAAAAUCAGGCUCGAGAGCCUGACCGAGGGUACUUGAAGAAAACGCAUCGGCUAACUCCGUGCCAGCAGCCGCGGUAAUACGGAGGAUGCGAGCGUUAUCUGGAUUUAGUGGGUUUAAAGGGUGCGUAGGCGGGCUGUUAAGUCAGCGGUAAAAGCACGGGGCUCAACCUCGGCGAGCCGUUGAAACUGGCUGUCGUGAGAUGUCGAGAGGUAUGCGGAAUGCGCAGUGGAGCGGUGAAAUGCUUAGAUAUUGCGCAGAACUCCGAUUGCGAAGGCAGCAUACCGGCGGCGAUCUGACGCUGAGGCACGAAAGCGUGGGUAUCGAACAGGAUUAGAUACCCCUGUAGUC